rnacentral:rRNA from 1 species
UCAGAUUGAACGCUGGCGGCAUGCUUUACACAUGCAAGUCGAACGGCAGCACGGGGGCAACCCUGGUGGCGAGUGGCGAACGGGUGAGUAAUAUAUCGGAACGUACCCAAGAGUGGGGGAUAACGUAGCGAAAGUUACGCUAAUACCGCAUACGAUCUCAGGAUGAAAGUGGGGGACCGCAAGGCCUCACGCUCCUGGAGCGGCCGAUAUCUGAUUAGCUAGUAGGUAGGGUAAAGGCCUACCAAGGCAUCGAUCAGUAGCUGGUCUGAGAGGACGACCAGCCACACUGGAACUGAGACACGGUCCAGACUCCUACGGGAGGCAGCAGUGGGGAAUUUUGGACAAUGGGCGCAAGCCUGAUCCAGCAAUGCCGCGUGAGUGAAGAAGGCCUUCGGGUUGUAAAGCUCUUUUGUCAGGGAAGAAACGGUGAAGGCUAAUAUCCUUUGCUAAUGACGGUACCUGAAGAAUAAGCACCGGCUAACUACGUGCCAGCAGCCGCGGUAAUACGUAGGGUGCAAGCGUUAAUCGGAAUUACUGGGCGUAAAGCGUGCGCAGGCGGUUUUGUAAGUCUGUCGUGAAAUCCNCGGGCUCAACCUGGGU